UACGAAGGGGGCUAGCGUUGCUCGGAAUUACUGGGCGUAAAGGGCGCGUAGGCGGGUCUCUAAGUUGGAGGUGAAAGCCCAGGGCUCAACCCUGGAAUUGCCUUCAAUACUGGAAACCUUGAGUAUGAGAGAGGUGUGUGGAACUCCGAGUGUAGAGGUGAAAUUCGUAGAUAUUCGGAAGAACACCAGUGGCGAAGGCGACACACUGGCUCAUUACUGACGCUGAGGCGCGAAAGCGUGGGGAGCAAACAGG
rnacentral:rRNA from 1 species